GACGGCCUUCGGGUUGUAAACCUCUUUCAGUACCGACGAAGCGAGAGUGACGGUAGGUACAGAAGAAGCACCGGCCAACUACGUGCCAGCAGCCGCGGUAAUACGUAGGGUGCGAGCGUUGUCCGGAAUUACUGGGCGUAAAGAGCUCGUAGGCGGUUUGUCACGUCGGCUGAGAAAUCCCAUCGCUCAACGGUGGGCUUGCAGUCGAUACGGGCUGACUUGAGUACUGCAGGGGAGACUGGAAUUCCUGGUGUAGCGGUGAAAUGCGCAGAUAUCAGGAGGAACACCGGUGGCGAAGGCGGGUCUCUGGGCAGUAACUGACGCUGAGGAGCGAAAGCGUGGGUAGCAAACAGGAUUAGAUACCCUGGUAGUCCACGCCGUAAACGGUGGGUGCUAGGUGUGGGUUUCCUUCCACGGGAUCCGUGCCGUAGCUAACGCAUUAAGCACCCCGCCUGGGGAGUACGGCCGCAAGGCUAAAACUCAAAGGAAUUGACGGAAUCGAAUU
rnacentral:rRNA from 1 species